rnacentral:lncRNA from 1 species
CCACCACGAGCAGCCGGGCCAGCAGCGGCCUGCUCUGCAGCCAGACCUGGCUUAGGCUUAGGCUGCGCAUCCUGACAAGUUUAUUUUCCUCCUUUUGCCUCCGAUUGCAGCACCAAGCAAUGGGAAGAGCGGGCAGACACUGCCUCCUGGCAACACAAACCCUCACAGCUUAGCACAUAGCCAUGGAAAACCCAGCCCAGCUUAGGUCAGCAGAGAGCUGUGCUGGUGAAUAAGGAGACAGAAGGACAUCAGGACAGGGUGUUAUCAGCAACCCCACGCUCAGCACAGGAUCACACACAGCGUGCUCCGUUCUUACACCCUACAGAAGUACCAGUUCUGAAAAUCUGCCACGUGGUGAACUCUGCAGUUUCUGUUCCACCUCCCCGCGUGCGGGCGGCCCUUUAGGACAUCAGGAGACCGGACCCUAUGAGGGCACAAACAACUCUGUUUUUUUUAAGUCUAUCUAGAAUUCAGUUCAGCUGAAAAGAAGAGUAAGUAGAACGUGCAUCCAUAUAUUAGAAAAGGGAGGGAAAGGCUUUGGCAAUCAGAUGUGGAAGAAGUUAAAAAU